rnacentral:rRNA from 1 species
AUAGGUGGGAGGCUUUGAAACCAGGACGCCAGUUUUGGCGGAGCCAUCCUUGGGAUACCACCCUUGUAGUACUGGGACUCUAACCCUAGGCCAUGAAUCUGGUCUUGGGACACUGUCAGGUGGGCAGGUUGACUGGGGCGGUCGCCUCCCAAAAGGUAACGGAGGCGCUCAAAGGUUCUCGCAGUACGGUCGGAAAUCGUACGUAGAGUGUAAAGGCAAAAGAGAGCUUGAUUGCAAGACAUACAGG